rnacentral:lncRNA from 1 species
CGGGAUUGCCAGCUCCUUGGCUCUGGGUCAUGCGCUGGCUAGGAGAUGGACGUUCUCUGCGCGGGUCUGCGUACCCGUUGUGCGUCGCGGUGACGGCCGCCCUUGGGCAGCGAGCUUUCUGCGUGCUCCGAUCCUCUCCGCUCCCCUUCAGAGGGUGGAGACAACUGUUUCUAGUUUUGAAUUUUUUUUUUUUUUACGUUGCAUCUUUGCGUGUGCGCAGAGGUGAAGCUGGUGGCGAACAACGCCGCUGUUCUUGAUCUCUAGCUGUGAUGAGCAAAAGGGGGUGAAGGUUGGGGAGAAGGUGUCAGUUUCGGCCUCCCCCCCUCUCCCCUGGAACCAUGGAGCUGUGGGGGAGCUGAGGAUGGAGGACGCCUGGGGGCCUCAGGGCGCGGCGAGGUAGACGUAGCGAGCGAGCGGGAGCCUGGCGAACGAGGAUGCGGCGGGUUGGGUGGAGGGACGCAGCACGGCCACUGUGCGACGCGAACCGCGACCUGAGUGCCCGUGUGGACUUGACAGCGGCUAAAUGUAAGGGGGCCAAAGGGCAGAGCUUCGGUACCAUUUCUGGCUCUCCUUGCCCCGCCGCCGUGAGCGCUGGGGCGCAUGCCGCUGCAGAUUCUGCAGGCGCGUGGGGAUGGACACCCGUGCUGGUGACUCCAUCCCCUGGUAGGAAGGGGAGCCACUGGGCCGUGGGGUGGGAGGAAGGGAGAGAGCAAACCCGGGGAGGAAACGCCUGCCGCACCCGCGCGCCCCGGGCCUUCACCACGCCUGCCCUGUGGGCGGGCUCUUAGGCCGCCCGGGAACCAGCUCCCUGCGGGCCCCGGCGAGAAAGGUGGCUCCGCAUCUUGAUUGUUUUCCCAGAACGGCCGACUCGGGGCUCCGAGGUUGGCGGCGGAGCGGGCACGAUCCACAGAGCGCGCGCUCCCUGCUCUCUGGGGACCGUUUGCCUGGCCAGCCCAACCCCAUCCCCUUUUCACACCCGGAUCUGUCCUGGAGCCUUGCACAGGCCCUGGCUGGCAAGAGUAACCGGGCACGCGCGCCCCGGCCCCUCUUCGGUGCCUUCACCUCCUCUCCCUGGGGGCCGCGCGGAGGUAGG